rnacentral:rRNA from 1 species
ACGUUCGGACUGUAGUCUGCAACCCGACCUACACGAAGCUGGAAUCGCUAGUAAUCGCAGAUCAGAAUGCUGCGGUGAAUACGUUCCCGGGUCUUGUACACACCGCCCCGUCACACCAUGGGAGUCGGUAAUGCCCGAAGCCAGUGACCCAACCAUAUGGAGGGAGCUGUCGAAGGCGGGGCCGGUGACUGGGGUGAAGUCGUAACAAGGUACC